rnacentral:rRNA from 1 species
GUGGGGAAUUUUGGACAAUGGGCGCAAGCCUGAUCCAGCAAUGCCGCGUGUGUGAAGAAGGCCUUCGGGUUGUAAAGCACUUUUGUCCGGAAAGAAAUCUCCUGGGUUAAUACCUCGGGGGGAUGACGGUACCGGAAGAAUAAGCACCGGCUAACUACGUGCCAGCAGCCGCGGUAAUACGUAGGGUGCGAGCGUUAAUCGGAAUUACUGGGCGUAAAGCGUGCGCAGGCGGCUAUGUAAGUCAGAUGUGAAAUCCCCGGGCUCAACCUGGGAACUGCAUUUGUGACUGCAUGGCUAGAGUGCGUCGGAGGGAGGUGGAAUUCCGCGUGUAGCAGUGAAAUGCGUAGAGAUGCGGAGGAACACCGAUGGCGAAGGCAGCCUCCUGGGAUGACACUGACGCUCAUGCACGAAAGCGUGGGGAGCAAACAGGAUUAGAUACCCUGGUAGUCC